UACGUAGGGCGCAAGCGUUGUCCGGAAUUAUUGGGCGUAAAGAGCUCGUAGGCGGUCUGUCACGUCGGCUGUGAAAGCCCGGGGCUCAACCCCGGGUCUGCAGUCGAUACGGGCAGGCUAGAGUGCGGUAGGGGAGACUGGAAUUCCUGGUGUAGCGGUGAAAUGCGCAGAUAUCAGGAGGAACACCGGUGGCGAAGGCGGGUCUCUGGGCCGUAACUGACGCUGAGGAGCGAAAGCGUGGGGAGCGAACAGG
rnacentral:rRNA from 1 species